AUUGAACGCUGGCGGCGUGCCUAACACAUGCAAGUCGAGCGGCAGCGCGGGAGCAAUCCUGGCGGCGAGCGGCGGACGGGUGAGUAAUGCUUGGGAAUCUGCCUGUUAGUGGGGGACAACCCGGGGAAACUCGGGCUAAUACCGCAUACGCACUACGGUGGAAAGCCGGGGACCGCAAGGCCUGGCGCUAACAGAUGAGCCCAAGUCGGAUUAGCUAGUUGGUAGGGUAACGGCCACCAAGGCGACGAUCCGUAACUGGUCUGAGAGGACGACCAGUCACACCGGAACUGAGACACGGUCUGGACUCCUACGGGAGGCAGCAGUGGGGAAUAUUGGACAAUGGGGGAAACCCUGAUCCAGCGACGCCGCGUGGGUGAAGAAGGCCUGCGGGUUGUAAAGCCCUUUCAGUGGGGAAGAAAAGCCUCGACCUAACACGUC
rnacentral:rRNA from 1 species